AAUCUUUGUUUUCUGUAGCCCUUUUCCCCAAAUGUAUUCAACUGGUGCGUUUUGGUCUUUGUUGUCUUAAGUCCAAACCUUGUUUUCAGAUUAUCAAUAAUAUACGAACGUUGGCUUCCAGUAUCAAAUAAUAUACGCACAGUUGUUGACUUCGAUCCGUCUUCGUUUAGUGCAGUCGCUGUCGCAGUUUGUAGCAAAACGUUCUCCUUUGCUUUUGCACAGGUCGUCC